rnacentral:rRNA from 1 species
CGUAGGUGCGAGCGUUGUCCGGAAUUAUUGGGCGUAAAGAGCUUGUAGGCGGUCUGUUGCGGUCGGAAGUGAAAACUCAGGGCUUAACCCUGAGCCUGCUUUCGAUACGGGCAGACUUGAGGGAUGUAGGGGAGAACGGAAUUCCUGGUGGAGCGGUGGAAUGCGCAGAUAUCAGGAGGAACACCAGUGGCGAAGGCGGUUCUCUGGACAUUUCCUGACGCUGAGAAGCGAAAGCGUGGGGAGCGAAACAGGCUU